rnacentral:tRNA from 1 species
GCGGAUGUAGCUCAGCGGCAAGAGCGUCUGGCUUCCACCCAGAAGAGCGGGGUUCGAUUCUCCGUAUCCGCUCCA